rnacentral:rRNA from 1 species
GACGAACCGAGCGAACGUUGUUCGGAAUCACUGGCUUAAAGGGCGCGUAGGCGGGUGCUCAAGUCCGUGGUGAAAUCCUCCGGCUCAACCGGAGAACUGCCUCGGAUACUGGGUGCCUCGAGGGUGGUAGGGGGUAUGCGGAACUAUCGGUGGAGCGGUGAAAAUGCGUUGAUAUCGAUAGGAACUCCGGUGGCGAAGGCGGCAUACUGGACCACCCUCUGACGCUGGAGGCGCGAAAAGCCCAGGGGGAGCAAA